AACGCACAUUGCGCCCCUUGGUAUUCCGAGGGGCAUGCCUGUUCGAGCGUCAUUAUGACCACUCAAGCCUAGCUUGGUAUUGGGGUUCGCGGUCUCGCGGCCUCUAAAAUCAGUGGCGGUGCCGUCUGGCUCUAAGCGUAGUAAUUUUCUCGCUAUGGGGUCCGGACAGUUACUUCCUAAACCCCAACUUCUCACGGUUGACCUCGGAUCAGGUAGGGAUACCCGCUGAACUUAA
rnacentral:misc_RNA from 1 species